GGUCUGACGUCACGCAGAGUGCUGUCCAGGACAAUGCCUGCAAGAAGAUGGGGCGGGCGGGGGCUUAGGAGCCAGACGGGCGAACUUCUGUUUGCACUCAAGUUGAGUAAGAUCACAGCACCAGCCAGGAGGUGAGAUGUCGCUGUGUGGGCACGGAUUAUUCCUGUCACACGCAGCUCACCCCCCGCUUCCCCCCCCCCCCACACCACAGCCCCAGCUCCACUGGCCAGCGGUGGUCACUGGAAGUUUUUAAAAUAGUUAUGGUGCAGUUUUCCAGAUGAUUCUACUCAUCUCAGAGACUGUAAGCUACAGAGUCCACUAAUAACAGUCUGUUUUAAGGGCUGUGUUUGUUUGUGGCUCACUGGAGGCUCCGGGCUUCACGUUCGGUGUUACUUUUUUUUAUGGUACGUUUUUCCCCUCCAGCGGGGCGACGGAAGCUGGCACCGAGCAGUCGGGGUGUUUGAAUCCAAAACGGAAGAGACUUCUGCAUUCCGGACCUGAGAAAGCUGGCAGGCGACAUGCAGGCAGAUGUAGAACAGCCCCAGGAAGGAUGCAUCAACGCCCAGCGUUGGGAGCAGGACGGCACGGAGUACCUGGGGAGUGGUACUGUUGGCCCCUCAGUUCGGAACCUGCCUCAACUGUCUGUCGGAUAAGGAGAACGACCUGACAUCCUGCACCGUGUACUGGCUGAUUGUGAAGGACCUGAGGAUUUAGAGCAGUAUGGGCUUGGGGGUGUUGCUUGGCAAACAGCCGGAGAAUUCACCGUUUCUGCCGCUGAUGCUACCCUUGGGGCUGAGGUAGUAGAUUGAAUAGUUGUGGGGUGCCAGCCCUCCCUCUGUGAUAACUAUGCAAUCUACUGUCUUUCCUAAGGAGACGGUUGAGACGGCCAACAGCGCGAGACGGCACCUCCAGGCACCUUGCAGCCAAGCGCUUGCGAGCUAAAUCCCAACGGCACGACAUCUCCAGCCUGUUCAUGCACAUUAGCAAACCACAGGUUCUUAGCAUAUUGCUUACGAAACACUGGCACUUGGAGAAAGUAAUUUUUGGGAUUAGUCCAAUGUACUUUGGGAUCCUAGCAGCGCACAGUGAGGGCUGUGUUGAUGCGUGAGCUAGUGACUACCACGGUAGCAAGUGCCCUGCUUGUUAGGCCUAUAUUAACGAGCACUUUUCUAGCGAGCACUAGUUAGUGAGAGUUGUACUAGUGAACACUAUGUUAGUCAGUGCUAGGGUAGUGAGCACAAUGAUAGCGAGUGCUGUGCUACUGAGCAAUACGUUAGAAAGCGCUCUGUUAAGCUGCAAUGUGUUAGCAGGCACUGCGCUAGAGGUACACAGUGUUAGCGAGAGCUAUGCUACUGAGCAUAUGUUAGGCAAGUACUAUGCUAGGGCACAAUAUAUUAGCAAGUACUAUGCUACUGAGCACUAUGUCAGCGAGAGCUAUGCUAUUGAGCAGUACGUUAACUAGUGCCCACCUCGUGAGCACUAUGUCAAAGUUCCAUGUUUGCGCCUGCGGUGCCCGUGAUGGUAUCCAGUGCCCUCCUGCAAAAGCAUCACAGUUGCAUACCUUGCUGCUGAUGCCGUGCGACUCUGCUAGUGCCCUUGCGGGGUGAGGUAGUAGGUUGUAUAGUUUGUUGGGAGGGAUCAACCCCUACUCAGGUGAUAACUAUACAGUCUAUUGCCUUCCCUGAGAGGUACAAUUACUACAGGCAAGGAACAAAGUCGUCACAUUGACUGACCGGCGCUAGCUAGCGCUACGCGGAACACAUGCUGUGUGCAUGGCAAGGUGACUAUACAAAUGUGCUUUAAAUGUAUUACCUGAAGGGUCAGAAGGCUAACUGUCUUACUGCAUUGAAACUGAAACAUAUAUGAACAGUCUAGGUCACUUUUGUAAAAACUUUACUGUACUCAUUCUUCCUUUAUGGUUUCCCUUAUUUGUAGCUUAAAUUAUUAAUGAUAACAUUAGUUAGCUUACAGAACUAUACACAAAUGAUGUGUAAUUACUCACAACUGUAUAUUUAUUCCUGGGUUAGUUCCUAUAAUGACUGUAACAUUAGAAUUUGUUAAAACGGCAAGUCCGGUUUGAUGUAUGUCUAUAAUAAAUAAAAAUGCAUUAUUAAAAA